AUUGAACGCUGGCGGCAGGCCUAACACAUGCAAGUCGAACGAGUGGCGGACGGGUGAGUAAUGUCUGGGAAACUGCCUGAUGGAGGGGGAUAACUACUGGAAACGGUAGCUAAUACCGCAUACCAUCGGAUUUGCCCAGAUGUGAUUAGCUAGUGGUGGGGGUAAAGGCUCACCUAGGCGACGAUCCCUAGCUGGUCUGAGAGGGUGACAAGACACACUGGAACUGAGACCCGGUCCAGACUCCUACGGGAGGCACCAGGGGGGAAGAUUGCACAAGGGGCGCAAGCCGGAUGCAGACAUGCCGCGUGUAUGAAGAAGGCCUUCGGGGUGUAAAGUACUUUCAGCGGGGAGGCGUUACCCGCAGAAGAAGCACCGGCUAACUACGUGCCAGCAGCCGCGGUAAUAC
rnacentral:rRNA from 1 species